UUGGUGUGUCUUUCAUGUGUCCUGUGUAGGACAUGGGUCUAAAUUUUAAGCUGGUGGAUUGGACACGCUCACUCUUAACAGCUUAUACGACGAAGUGGCAUAUAGAUCUGCAAAUCAGCAGGCAGUGUACGGAACACCUGCCCUGAAUCCAUUUGAAGUGCAAGAUCCAUUUGCCCCAUCAAGCAACAUCCCUCCACCUCCCGCGGUCCAAAUGGCAGCCAUGGCUCAACCACAAGCAAAUCCAUUUGGUCCUUACUCGCCUUAUCAGCCUCGGCAGCAACAUGUGUUGAUGAAUCCAGCCAAUCCCUUUGGCGAUGCGGGUUACAGGGCGUUUCCUGUGAAUCCUGUUUCACACCCACAAAAUAACAAUCCAUUUGGAAGCACAGGCUUGUUAUAAUAACGUAACACUGCUUUCUUUUUCUUUUCCCUGGAGGUGUAAAGCAUUUAAUCAGUGAAGUUGGUUUUGGUGAAUUCAGCAGUGAGUAAAAUGACGCAUGGGUUUUACUUCUUUGUUGCUGGAUUGAUGAUUUUUGGAAUGGAUAUGCCUGGUUGGUUGCCUUGUAAAAAUUUCAGUCAACAUUGAGAAUGUAAUAAUUGUUUGAUGGUAUAUAGAAUAGUGGGUUCUGCUUGUAUCCUUGCA